UGGGGAAUUUUGGACAAUGGGGGAAACCCGGAUCCAGCCAUCCCGCGUGUGCGAUGAAGGCCUUCGGGUUGUAAAGCACUUUUGGCAGGAAAGAAACGUCAUGGGUUAAUACCCCAUGAAACUGACGGUACCUGCAGAAUAAGCACCGGCUAACUACGUGCCAGCAGCCGCGGUAAUACGUAGGGUGCAAGCGUUAAUCGGAAUUACUGGGCGUAAAGCGUGCGCAGGCGGUUCGGAAAGAAAGAUGUGAAAUCCCAGAGCUCAACUUUGGAACUGCAUUUUUAACUACCGGGCUAGAGUGUGUCAGAGGGAGGUGGAAUUCCGCGUGUAGCAGUGACAUGCGUAGAUAUGCGGAGGAACACCGAUGGCGAAGGCAGCCUCCUGGGAUAACACUGACGCUCAUGCACGAAAGCGUGGGGAGCAAACAGG
rnacentral:rRNA from 1 species